GUACAACUCUUAGCGGUGGAUCACUCGGCUCGUGCGUCGAUGAAGAACGCAGCUAGCUGCGAGAACUAAUGUGAAUUG
rnacentral:rRNA from 2 species